rnacentral:lncRNA from 10 species
CAUAAUUAGAAAAGUAUCACCAUUUUCCUGGGACAAAAAUAUGUAAGUUUAAACAUUUUUAGUGCCAGGUCAGUAGUCACGAUUUACCAACAGCAUUUUUUAUUUUAAAAAUACAGUUAGUGACUACACCAUUGGCUAACAAACUGAGACUUAAAGCAUUCUCUAGAUGCAAAUGCUACAAAUAAAUCAAAUUAUUAGGCAUAUUCACUAAUACUUACAAACUUAACUUCAUAUAUAAAGCAAGGUAGAUCACCAGUGUGGCCAUGCAAACAGGGUUUGAGGACUUCAAUAUUUAAAGCAAGUUAGUCCAACCCACAGCCCAAGGGCCACAUGCAGCCCAGGAUGGCUUUGAAUGAGGCCCAACACAAAUUAGCAAAUUACUAAACUUACUUAAAAUGAUGGGAUUUUAUUUUUUGCCAUUUUUUGGUUUGUGUGUUUGGUUUUUAGCUCAUCAGCUUUGUUAGUGUUAGUGUAUUUUAUGUGUGGCCCAAGACAAUACUUCCAAUGUGGCCCAGGGAAGCCAAAAGAUUGGACACUCCUGAUUUAAAGGGAAAAGGGAGGGCAGAUGAAGAAAGAGGAUAAAAAAAAGAGAGAGAAGGUAGACAAAACAGGAAAGUGGUUAGUCUUUGGAGGCUUUGAUUAGCACUUACUGAAUCUACAUUUUACAUGUGAAAGGAGUGGGUAGCGAAACAGUGAAUUAUGCAUAGUGCUCAGUGCGUCUGCAUUUUUGCAUAAGAUAAAGUAAACAUAGAGGAGGUGCUCAAAUAUGCAUUCCUCUCAGGUGAGCCAAGGGAUGCCCUCUAGGCCUGUCUUUGUCAAGGUACCGGUGAAGAUAAGCUGUUAGUUUACAUUGUCAAGGUGAAAUAGAACAGCGUUCUGUUUUAGGGUAAAGCUCUUGGGGCCCACGAGGAAUUUCCUUGUGAGCAAUUUGUGAAGGAGGCCACCGGGGGAGACAUGUGGCCUUCUGUCUUUGCAGCUAUCUACUUAGGAACAAAAUGGAAGGCAGUUUUUGCAUGAUGCAGUUACUGAGCUUCACUUUUCCCUUUGGCAUAGUGAGUUUGGGGUCCUGAGAUUUUUAUAUUCCUUUCACAGCCUCACUAUACUUGAAUUAAAAUACAAUCUACAUGUUAAAACUGACCACAUCAUUCUUUCCUGUGUGUCUUCAAAGGAUUUAAGGCCCAUCCAGAUAAUCCAAGAUGAUCUCAUUUCAAAGCCUUAAUUAUAUCUUUGAUGACUCUUUUUCCAAAUAAGGUCUCAAUUAGAGGUUCCUGGAAUAAGACACGGACUCAUCUCCCUGGGGGCCACCAUUCAGCCUGAUCCGGAAGGAAGGCCAUGAUUUCAGCUCUCUGGGAUUUGAGACAAAGAGGCCCCUUUUCUUUCAUUUUAUCUUUUCAUGUCUCUUCUUGCCAUGUACCCACAUGAUUGAGUGUGGGCUGAGGGUGAAUCCAAGAAGGGCUUUGUUUUGUGGUCAGUACAGGCUUUGGUCCACAGAGACAACAAUACUUUCAAUACUCUUUUGUUCUGCCCCAGAGGAGCUCAACACAGAAUUGCCUAGAACAAGAAACUGGUGAGAGAAGCUGCAGCCUGUUGAGACUCCACAAGACUGAAGAUAUGAAAAGAGGAAAUAUGCAUGAAUGCCCGCACGGAGAACCACCCCCACCUGCUGCUCCCGCUCUAAUGAUCACGCCCAUUAUCAACUGGGGGAUGGCUCUGUGCCUUGUCCUUGCAUUACAUGGACCAAGAACACUUCACAGGACUCAGAGAGGAACCCGAAAGGAAGAAGCUAUACGACUGGGGACACAUGUCUUAGAAGCACACUCAUUAGAUAAAGUGUCGCAUACUCUUUGAUAAGUGACUCAGAACACCCGUGUCCUUCCCAACAUUGGAUGCAAUGCUAAAGACAUGAUGUUGCUCCUGCUGGACCACACCUUGAAGGAAUUGCCUACCCCACCUCACCUCCAAAAUUAAAGUCUUUCGUUUUGACAAAAGUUAAUGAUAAGGUUUGAUGUGCUAAUUUCAGCACCUCCACUUCAUGUCUACACUGUGGACAUAUACUUUUUUGUUGUUUUGGGGUUUUU